rnacentral:rRNA from 1 species
AGCUUUUUGUUUAGUUAUAAAAGGUGGCUUCUGCUCAAUGAUUUUAAAUAGCCGCGGUAAUUUGACCGUGCAAAGGUAGCAUAAUCAUUUGCUUUAUAAUUGAGGGCUGGAAUGAAUGGACUUACGAGACUACAGCUUUAUUUUUUAGAAAAAAAUAAAUUUCUUAUUUAGUGAAGAAGCUAAAGACGUUAAAAGGGACAAGAAGACCCUUUUGAGCUUUACUUUGUUUUUCUUUUAAAGAUUAGAUAGAGUUUGGUUGGGGCGACCAGAGAAGAGGGAUCUUCUCUUUUUUAUUAAGAUCCAGCGGUUCUGAUAAAUAGAUCAAGUUACCAAAGGGAUAACAGCGUAAUUUUUUUUAAGAGUUCUUAUUAAAAAAGUAGAUUGCGACCUCGAUGUUGACUUAUAACUUCCUUUUUGUGCAGCAGCGAUAAGGGUGGGUCUGUUCGACCUUUAAAGUUUU